AUGAACGCUAGCGGGAGGCCUAACACAUGCAAGCCGAGCGGUAUAAUUCUUUCGGGAAUUAGAGAGCGGCGCACGGGUGCGGAACACGUGUGCAACCUGCCUUUAUCUGGGGGAUAGCCUUCCGAAAGGGAGAUUAAUACCCCAUAAUAUAUUGACUGGCAUCAGUUAAUAUUGAAAACCCCGGUGGAUAGAGAUGGGCACGCGCAAGAUUAGAUAGUUGGUGAGGUAACGGCUCACCAAGUCAGUGAUCUUUAGGGGGCCUGAGAGGGUGAUCCCCCACACUGGUACUGCGACACGGACCAGACUCCUACGGGAGGCAGCAGUGAGGAAUAUUGGACAAUGGGUGAGAGCCUGAUCCAGCCAUCCCGCGUGAAGGACGACGGCCCUAUGGGUUGUAAACUUCUUUUGUACAGGGAUAAACCUAGAUACGUGUAUCUAGCUGAAGGUACUGUACGAAUAAGCACCGGCUAACUCCGUGCCAGCAGCCGCAGUAAGAC
rnacentral:rRNA from 1 species